ACUAAGCCGGAUGGAAGCUAGAGUCCAUUUUAGAGCUGCGGUGCCUACAGUCUCCGCCUUCAAGGAGCUAAUGGAAGAAUUGUGCGCACACAAUUCAUUUUGGCGAAAAGGAAAAAGGUGGGGAAUAGCCUUGACUCCGGCGGAGGCAGCUUUCUAACGACGCUCUCCCAUCAGAGGCGCCCGCCCGGGCCCGGCUCCGCAGCGGGGAAGCGGGGCCCGGCAACGCGGCCGAGCCCCGAGCCCCCACCCCGCCUCGGCCCCGGGAGCCUUCGACACCGCGCGGCCCGGGCCGUGGAGACGCCCUCCGGCCCCCGUCCCCACCCGCGCCCGCGUCCAGUCCGCGGGCCAAGUCGUCUCCCGCCCGCGGGAAGCGAGGCCGAGGGUUGUGCGUGUUGGGCGGGGGAGGGCGGGAGAUGGGUACGUCUCUCCCGGCCGGAAAACGGAAUUCUUGGGCCCCAGGCGCGGUGUGCUCAGUGAAACGUAUAUUUAAAAAAGAAAUAAAAUUUUUAAGGUAAAAAGAGAAAACUAAACAUCUACCAGGAGUGGGGUUCGAACCCACGCGGACAUCGUCCAUUGGAUCUUAAGUCCAACGCCUUAACCACUCGGCCAUCCUGGUACAGGCGAACGGUCUGCAGUUCACUCUUCCUACAAGCAGUGUUCCACCGUCCUCGAACCCUCCUCUAAGAAUUUCUGAGGAGUCUUCGCCGCUGUUUUCCCGGUUUUUUCACCCCAAGCUGGAGCGACCUCCCCGCCAGAGCCUCGGUUUCCCGCCGCCGCAGCUUUGCCCGCGGCCCGUCGCGGCAGGGAGCGCAACUGCAACCGGGUUGGGCCCGCUGGCGGCGGGGACGCUCGGCUGGUAGAUCCGAGCGGGACUCCGGCGCAGCCAGGGGUGCUUUCGGUUUCGAGGUGCGCGGGCGCGGGAAACAAACACACCAUGCUUUCCGUCCAUCUUGUGCACCGGUUUGUCGUCUCACCUCCUUUACCAAGACGGCCACUGCAUUCCCCACCCCACCCCAAGACCUCGACAUGACCACAGAGCCAUGGCUCUGGUGUUGUGGAGCGUCGGGGAGCCUGGGAACCGAGCACGGUCUGGCAGCAACGCCCCGGUUCCUACAGUGCAGGCGGCUGCCUUUGACCGAGAACUUCUAUCAUCCUGGAGCCUGCACAAAUUCACCUGGGUGGGACCUCACCGACUGACUCUUCACCUGCUAGGUCCUACUGUAAGAACCGCAUUGCCCUGCUGCCUCCUGGAACUUGUGUGACUGCUGUGACCUGGGUCCCAGUCAAGAACAUUGACUGCCCCUGAGAGUCCCUGAGGGUAACAACCGGUGGAAUUGCCCCCUACCUACUUCCGCCACACGACGCUUGGCAUUGCUCUAAGCUCAUUACAAAUAUUAUCUAGUUGUUGUUGUUGUUUUUAACAACCCUCUAUAGCAAGAGUUUAUAUCACCAUUUUCAAGUUUAGAGAUGCAGUUAAAACUCACUCAAAUAUACGAAGAAGAGGCCUCUUAGACAUGCAGUCCUGCACCCCAAGGCCAUUACAGAGCUUCCUUACCACCUAUCUGGCUGUCAAAUCCUCCAUGAUCUUCUGGAACAUGGCCGUAGACUAUUUAAACGAUAUUUUCAUUUAACCCCAGACUUAGCCUCGCAAAGACCUCUAGUACAAAACAGUUCUGAACUGUUUUCAUCAUAGAGUGCCCUUAGCAGUGCCUCUUCUGCAGCCUCAAGAUUGUGUUAAAUUUCUGUGGCCACUGGUUAAGGACGGGCCUGGAACACAAGUUAGUCUAGUCAGAGUUACACGUAACUCUGAGCUAUUGGAGAAAAUUUCACUCUGCGGCGUGGCAGAUGGUGUUUUUCCAAAGAGGACCACGACAUUACCUCCCAUCCCACCUGUUACUUUAUCUUCCUACCCUGUGGGGUUUUUUUUAAUUUGAGAGACAGAGAGAGACAGUGUGAGCAGGGGAGCGUCAGCCUUCAGUUGAUCCUAGCAACUAACCAUCAAGUGACGUAGCCGUUGAAUCUUCCCAGCUAAGCACCCAGAUCAUGGAACAGGGACAUGAAGCUAUCCCUACUGUAUCCUUGCCCAAUUUCUGACUCACAAAAUCUAUGGGCAGAAUAAAAAUGUUACUGUUUAGGUUUGUUUGUUUGUUUUUUUAAAUGAAACAAGAGUUAAUAAAAAGUCGGAGACGAGUAAACGGGAAUACUGUUAUAAGGACUAGGAGCACCACACAGAGACAGGGUGUCUGGGAAUUAAGCCAACACAAGAAAGCAGAAUCUCGAAGUGAGGCAUCCAAGGUGUGAGUCCAUCAUUGGAGUCCUUUCCUUCCCCUUCCUGGAAACUGGAUUCUGGGCCAUGCUCCCCCUUUGCCAAAUUGACAUCCUUCAUGGGACUCUCUGGGUGGAGGAACACGAGUUCGAUCCGUAGGUUCUAGCCACAAAGGAGGUUAAGAAGGAAAGUUCUAGCUUCGGCCUUAGGAAGAGGACUUAAAAUGGAGGAAAUUCCCCAAACAUGAGAAGGGUGUUCAAAGACGCUGGCAACUGGAAGGCAUGACAAAUAUCCACUUGAGCGUUGGAACAAAAUGUGAAAAGCACUGUGCCGUGACGUUUGUAAUAACUGACAAUGUUAGACAGCAAGUGACAAUAUUAAGACAAAUUUUGCAACACUGAAGUGGCUUCAUGUUCAGGAAAUUGCGUUUGACAUACUUCUUAUGGGCAAAUGUUUCACUGUGCAUGUGUUUAUGUGAGCCAUGAUAUUCUUUAUGCAUUUUUUGAUGAUUUAAAAAGAAUGUUCACAAAUGUUUUGACACUCCUCCCUUCGAGAGAUGGAGCUUAAGUCCCUUCCCUUUCAGUGUGGGCUGAAUCCAGAGACUCAUGUCUAACAAGCAGGAUAAAACCAAAGAGGUUUUAUACACAACCUCAGAGAUUAGGUCAUCAAAAGCCACUGCUGUCAUUGUCUUGGAUCUCUCUCUUUUGGAUCAUUCCCUUUGGAGGAAACCAGCUUCCUAUCACAUGCCACAAGCAGCCCUUUGAGGCUCCAGGAGAGAAGAGCAGCCGGCAAGGUACUGAAGUCCCACAUGCGUGAGCUUGGAAACAGAUACCCCCACCCAGUCGAACCUUCUGAUAACUGUAGUCCCGGCCAACAUCUUGACUGCAACUUUAUGAGAGACCCUGAACCAGAACCACCAGCCAACCCCUGAUUUCCUGACCCUUAGAAACUAUAUAAGAUAAUAAAUAUCUAUUGGUUUAAGCA